rnacentral:rRNA from 1 species
GAUGAACGCUGGCGGCGUGCCUAAUACAUGCAAGUCGAACGCAUUGUGGUUGAAAUGAUAUGAAGGACUUGUUCAGAUUUGAUUUUCAACAUUGCAAUGAGUGGCGAACGGGGUGAGUAACACGUGGGAAACCUACCUCUUAGCAGGGGAUAACAUUUGGAAACAAGUGCUAAUACCGUAUAAUAAUUAAAACCGCAUGGUUUUAGUUUAAAAGAUGGUCUUGCUAUCACUAAGAGAUGGUCCCGCGGUGUAUUAGUUAGUUGGUGAGGUAAUGGCUCACCAAGACAAUGAUACAUAGCCGAGUUGAGAGACUGACCGGCCACAAUGGGACUGAGACACGGCCCAUACUCCUACGGGAGGCAGCAGUAGGGAAUCUUCCACAAUGGACGAAAGUCUGAUGGAGCAACGCCGCGUGUGUGAUGAAGGGUUUCGGCUCGGUAAAAACCACUGUUGUAAGAGAAGAA